rnacentral:rRNA from 1 species
AUUGAACGCUGGCGGCAGGCCUAACACAUGCAAGUCGAACGAGUGGCGGACGGGUGAGUAAUGUCUGGGAAACUGCCUGAUGGAGGGGGAUAACUACUGGAAACGGUAGCUAAUACCCCAUACCAUCAGAUGCGCCCAGAUGGGAUUAGCUAGUAGGUGGGGUAACGGCUCACCUAGGCGACGAUCCCUAGCUGGUCUGAGAGGAUGACCAGCCACACUGGGACUGAGACACGGCCCAGACUCGUACGGGAGGCAGCAGUGGGGAAGAUUGCACAAUGGGCGCAAGCCUGAUGCAGCCAUGCCGCGUGGAUGAAGAAGGCCUUAGGGUUGUAAAGUACUUUCAGCCGGGAGGCGUUACCCCCAGAAGAAGCACCGGCUAACUCCGUGCCAGCCGCCGCGGUAAUAC